GGAAGAACAAGAGCAGCAGAUGCAGAUGCAAGCUUGACUUUUCUUGAAAGGGUUGUUGAAUGCUGCUUCAAUCUGAAGAUGUCGGACUCUUGCUUCUUCACUCUUCCAAAGUGGACUCUGCCAAUGAUUCUCCAGGUCUUCACUAAGCUAUGCAAGUUCAUCUCGAACCCAUUAUCCUCCUGCCUCCUCAUCCCUAGUCACUGGUAUUACAGGCUCUUACAUUGCCCAGGUUGCUCUCAACUUCAUUUGCCUAAGUGAUCCCCUUGCCUUCCACAUAGUUCCAGGUACCUGGUACUACAGACACCUGUAAUUGAUCCUGAAAGCAGUUGCUGUAUUUGAAAUGAAGCUGGCAAGUGGAAAAUGAAUGAGUAAAGAGCUCUUUUCUUCAUCUGCUUGCCUCUCAGCCAGCCUAAUUAAAUUUGUCUAGUCUGAAAAUAUCCAAUAGUAAAUGUGCUUAUCAUUCUGAAAUACUACAAAUCUUUUCACUGAAAUGUUACUCAAUUCAUCAAAGUGGAGUCUUUGGGUGGUAUCCCCCAAAAUAUAAACAAAUUACAACAUGUAUUCUCAGCUCCUGAUCACUAUAUACAUUAUAAUAUCAUUUGAUUUGUUUUUCUCUAUUAUAUUCCAACAUAAUUAUAUCAAUUUAUACCACACAAGACAUUAAAUCACAAUA